rnacentral:rRNA from 1 species
GCCCUACGGGACGCAGCAGUGAGGAAUAUUGGUUAAUGGGCUUACGCCUGAACCAGCCAAGUCGCGUGAGGGAAGACUGCCCUAUGGGUUGUAAACCUCUUUUGUCAGGGAGCGACGCCGGCUACGUGUAGCCGGACUGAGAGUACCCGAAGAAAAAGCAUCGGCUAACUCCGUGCCAGCAGCCGCGGUAAUACGGAGGAUGCGAGCGUUAUCCGGAUUUAUUGGGUUUAAAGGGUGCGUAGGCGGAAUGCCAAGUCAGCGGUAAAAUCGCGGGGCUCAACCUCGCUCCGCCGUUGAAACUGGCG